UACGUAGGCAGCGAGCGUUGUUCGGAGUUACUGGGCGUAAAGCGUGCGUAGGCGGUUGUCUAAGUCUGGUGGGAAAUCUCCCGGCUCAACUGGGAGGGUGCGCCGGAAACUGGAUGACUGGAGUGCCGGAGAGGUAAGCGGAAUUCCUGGUGUAGCGGUGAAAUGCGUAGAGAUCAGGAGGAACACCUGUGGUGUAGACAGCUUACUGGACGGUGACUGACGCUGAGGCACGAAAGCGUGGGUAGCAAACGGG
rnacentral:rRNA from 1 species